CUGGAAAGGUGGACUCGCUUUCUGACCAGCGCUUCCCCUUCCUUCCCCUCCAGCAGCCCCCCCCCGGGGUGUACGUGUGUGUGCUGUGACCCCCCAGCCCGGGCUGACCCCCGGGUGGUGGAGGGGUGGGUGAGGAGGAGAAAAGCGGGGGGGGACCGGGCACUUCUGCAGGCGCAGCCCUUUCACAUCAAGAGAUUGGCUAUAAGGAGAAGGCUGACGGCUGCAGCAUGAAGCGCAUUAUUACCUUGUGAUUCCAUGACCCUCCUCUAUGCAUCCCUAACUCUCGAAAGCUGAUUCAGCUUUCAGCUAGUGCUCUGGUGAGUCCUCUGCUGCAACAGAAGCUCCUAACUGGCAUGUACUAUCUUUUGGGGUUUGCUUAUCUGUGAGGUAGUGUCUCGCUCCCAGUGACCAGCAGAGGAAGAAUCAUUGGAUUCACUAGUCCAUCAGUGCUUCCAGCAGUCUGGAUGAAGAAGGUGCCCGGAUAAUUCACAGACCAUGAUGUAUUUGUUCGCAUGUAACCAAAGCAGUGAAUGGUGAAUCUGUUUUUUAAUAUCUUUUGUACUGAUCUUCUCUGGGGGUCUGAGGUUGGAAGGAGAGUAUCACCACUGCCAGGUAACAAGAUUAUUUUCACGAAAAAAUAGACUGUGACAUCAAGUUAGUAGCCAGCUUAAAAGAAGAAACAAUGCAAUGCCCUUUAGAGAAGGAAGGAAUAAUUUUCUCCGGUGACAACUCUAAUGGGAGGCAGAACUUUAUCUCCUUUUCACAGCUCAAAUGAAGCAUCACAGCAGCAGCAUUAACUGUGCUUCCAUGUUUCCAGCUUGUCUUUUCAUUAACCUUUUUUUUAUUGCUGUAGCAGGGAACACGCUUUCCAGGGAGGUUUUCCAGGGCCAUCACUGGAGAUGCAAGCCCCGGAUGUCCCAUCCUGGUCCCUGGGCUGUGGCACACGUGGUGCUUUUGCAGCCAAACAGAUGAGCCUGCUGGUCUGCGCUACAUGAAAAGGAGUUUGCAGUGAAAAGGGGAAACAUGAUACGUAUCUACAGGUCUUCUGGAGAGCUUGUGGCCAGCCUUGCUCCAGGAGCCCUUUCACCCCACCAGCUCAGCUGUGUGAGUCCCAUCCUGGGAUAUCCUCAAUUCUGCAGGCAGGACAGCACUUAACCCCUGGCAGCAGCAGCAUCUUCAUGAGUGAAAGGUGCAUUUUUCAGCUACCUAACCCCCUUUACCACACAGGACAUCACUUAUAUUUUCUCAUUUAAGCUUUUCUGUAAAACCACAGCUCUGGCUGGGCCAGGCCGGUUAGUUUCAGAUGCUUCUCGCCUUCCCGGCCGCAUCCAUCCACGGCCAAGGCUGCCCUCUCCCGACAUUCCCAGUAUUAGGGGGAUGCGGCAGCUAAGCUGCACCCCAGCCUGGUCCCAGCCAUGCUGUGGACACCCCAACAAUGUCCCCUUCCAGUGAGCACAGACCAACAGGGCUCCACACACCCCCGAAGUGGCCUGGCCCCAUCACCGGCUCCUGCCUAUGCUGGGUCUAACCUGCACCCCUCUCCAGCAGCAUGUGGGUGCUGCUUGAAGAACACCCCGAGCACUGUGUUGCCAUCUCACCUGACUGAUUCCUGCCCUCCCAAACCUGCCCAGCACCUUCUGGUUUUAUAAUCUGACACUUUGGGAAUGAGUACGACACUCGUCUUUCUCUGGCUGAGGCUGUUCACGUUGUGAUGCCCUGGGAAAGCCCAGUUUAGCAUCGUGCUGCUCCAGGAAAGCAUUUUUGUGUGAACAGCAACAUGAGCCAAGCACUUGCACCCCUGGGGUUUGUAAACAGCUGAUAUACGAAAGAUUACUUUUUUUUUUCCUCCCUUCUGCUUUUGACCUUAUUUGCUGAAAAUGAAACAUCACCUAACCUCCCAGGAAAUGCCACAAUCCUUCAAUCUGACAUGAGAACACAAAUCUUCUGUAAGAGCGCAUCCAUUCUGCAUCUCAGGUCUCUGGAACUGAGCUCUGGACACAAGUGUGGGAAUCACAGCAUCCUGAACCCAAGACAGCAGGACCUGAGCCCCACAGCAUGGCGAGCAGGGCCCCCCAAGCCCCACUGGACCCAGGGAAGGACUCGGAGACACAUUUGCACUUUGUUGUUUCCCUCUGGAUCAGGACUCCCACGUCCGGCUCAGGAGCUCCUGUGCACAGUGCAGCACAUGGGCACAGAGAAAGGAGCCCCUCGAGCAGUGACAACCAGCCCAGAGUGGCAGAGCUGAAACCUAGCACAGCCGGGGGCUAUUUAUGGUAAAAUCACUGCCUAACCUGCACCUAGAACAUACACUCCCACGGUGUGGCUUUGCUAAUCUGGGCUGCUUUCAGCCAAAAAAGCAACAGUUACAAAAAUAUUGUGCUUAUCAUCACCACAGUCAAAAUAUCCCUUUAACUCCUAAGCCUGAAAUGACCUUGAUGCAAACUCAGGGCUGCCGGGUGCCACGUCCUGUUCAGACUUGAUGGGAACGCACCUAAAGCUGCUGCACUGAGCUGUAACCUGCUUUCUCUUUCAAUGAUGCCGUCUUUGGACUUUUCCACGAUUCUUGCAGAUGUGGUGUCAUAUUUCAUUCAAAUAAAACUUGAUUGGAAUGCAAGAAAUCACUUCUAUUUCUGUCUUAGGAGGGAAAGGCUGGGGUGUCUGCACAUCGCCUGGUGGAAAAGACCUGAGAAAAAAGAGUUCAGGACCCUCCAGAAUCUUUCAAAAAGUAGCUAGGGCUCUCUCUUAUCUCUUUUAAAAUUAAGAGAUCACAUUUUGUGCAUGCGCAGCAGUGAAGUUCCUAAUCCCACUUCCCAAUAACCCACAGGUACAUAUUGCAGUGCUGCUGCUAGCUGGUUCAUAACAGGGUGAGAGCAGGACAAGCAGGGAGGGAUCACUGCCAUCAGCACCUUGGGGACAUCCCGAACUAGAGGUUUGCAUGGAGAUUAUUUGGUUUAACAGCCACAAGAGCAUGUGUCACCCAUUAAUUUGUCUAAUCCUUCCUCAAACAGUUACACUUUCAGCUCUGCAAUGCCCUCCAGCAAUAGUUGCCACUGUUCCAUCAGGAGCUGUGCAUGAGUUUACUUUAAACCUCCCACCUCGUCCUUUCAUUUACAGGAUCAUUUGCUCUCACAAUAAUAAAUACAGCUUGGAGCGCUGAGCAGGACAGGUUCUGAUGCUCCAGUCUGCAAAACCAACAGGGUCUCAUCGAGGUGGGAUAACACAAAAUCUGGUAAAAAUCACAGGGAGGAUGUUCAGAAGUGCAUUUCCCACUGCAAGCCAGCACUGGCCACUGCUCUAUAUGUUUUCUGUGAAAGAUUUUCUGUCUCACAUUAGAGUUACAAUAAAAGCCUAAAAAAAAUAUUCUUUCAGAAAUAAAAAGUAGUUCUGUACUUCCUUCCUGGAGAUUUAUUGCUUGUUCUGCAACAGGAGAUGUGAAUCAUGGAAGUAUUUAUAACAGCGAUAUUAGGAAAUCAUCAUUCAGUCACCAGAAACCUGUGUUAGACAUUAUGUCUUUAAAGAAAUUGUUUAAUACUAUGCUAACCUAAUCUUCUGAAUACACACACACUCAACUAUAGUAAAAAUGUAAAUGUUCCCAGAACCAGACUUUACAUGAUGAAUAUACAAGAACUCCCCUUCUUUCCUAGUCAGCUCUGUGGUUCUUAUAAAAAUGAGGAUAGUUGCAUUUGAUGGGCAUUCAUACAAUUUGUAUCUGCACAGAUUUAGCCCAAAGAUUGUCAUGAUCAUCUCAGGCCCCAUGUGACUUACAGGACUGAACUUGAAGAAACAUCUUUCAGCAGUUGCUGGUGAUGGAGCAACUCCAGCUCUGACAGAGCCUCCAGCCAACUGACUUCCAUUCUGUGGCACUAAAUUUGUAUUCAUUAGAGAUUUAUAACAAAUGGCAGCCCAGAGCUCCUGACACUCCCAAAGCUUCUGACAGAGGUACAUCACAAAACCACCCUGGUGUGAAAUACUGAAUGAAAAUCAUUGCAGGUGUACCUGCAAGUGUUAACAUGACACACAAAAUCUGGGUUUCAGUAAAACUGAAAUGAUCAGAGCCUCCCAAACCUGAGGAAAUAGUAACCCAUAUAAUAACAAUAAUAUAGUGAUAAUAAUGUUAAUAGUUAUAGUAUGAGCAUGAUCAACAGUCUCCUUGUCAUUGUUUAUUACCAUCACUGCCCUGAUCACUCUCAGCUCUAAGGAUGGACAGGGUAGAGGUGGCCCCAUCUUUUCCACAACCUUUGUGCCCACCACCAAGCCCCAGACAGGGAAGCUGGAGCCGGAGAUGAAUGCAGCUUGGCAGGGCUGGAUGGGAAAUGUGGGGGGUUUCCCCAGCUCAGAUGCUUUUGAUGCAUUGCUUCACUUCUGCACAUCUGUUCUCCUUUCCACCCUGUUUAUUUAAAAUAGAAAUGGUUUGAAACAGGGCCUUACUCACCAGUGAAAACGAUGCCCAGUGUACAGGAAACGAUUCAUAUGUAAUAAAGCAACAUCAGUGUGUGUCCAUGGAGAAAAUGUUUCCUGUUUUUCCUGACCACAGCAUGUCGCAAGCAGCAGGCUCUCCCACAUGUAAUUUUGCUUUAAAAGCUAAUUCAACAAUUUAGCACAAGUGAAAGCAAAACCUGCAAGUAGCCACCUCCAACUCCAAGGGGCACAGCAAGGAUGGGACAAAAUGAUGAGUAAGAUAUGAGCGGUAUGUUCCCACAGCCUGGGACGAGGCUCAGCGAGCUGCAGAUCCUGCUUCUGCCUUGGCUCCUGCUCCUGCUCAUGGUCACCUGCGGGUCCCUGAGCCGCCACAGCAGCUGUGGGGACAGUGCAAAUGCAUACUGAACAGAGGCAGGGACCACAGGGCUGAGCGUGGUGGCUGAAUGUCACACCUUGGGCUGCAUCUUUCCUUCCUCACUGCCUUGUGCAGUGUUAGCUGGGGUUUUCCAUUACCCAGGUUAUCCUAUGCACUCUGGAUAAUGGAUAACUGAUUGCACUUUAAAGAGCUAGACAUACAGUGCCUGAAUUAUUUAUCUUUGAACAUGCAGAAACAGGCCAAAUUCCCAAGUGACGUGAAACAGCCCUUUUAAGAAAUGCAAAGGGGGCUGCAAAAGCUGCUGUGGUAGGCACAUGAGAGCUGCAUGAUCAUGUCGCAUCUGCUGAGAUUCUUCCUGCCAGGGCGACUUACACCCUGAAGGGUGUAGAGUGCUCAGGUGUGGGUGCUGGUCCAGACCCUCAUCUGUGUAAUCACCCAAGGUCCCCCUCUGUGCCUAUAAACCAACCACUGUGACAGCAAGUCCCCAAAGAGCAGAGAAAAAGGGCCAAACUAAUGUGUCAAUGUAAAUCAAAGCAGUUUGGUGUGUUCCCACAGCUUUUCUAUACAGCUCCUUGUCCUGGUUUCAGCUGGGAUAGGGUUAAUUUUCUUCCUGGAAGCUGGUGUAGUGCUGUGUUUUAGAUCUAGGAUGAGAAUAAUGUUGAUAACACACUGAUGUGUUAGUUCAGCUCUGGAGGUGAGUUGUACUUCCUCCGCAAUCAUUAACCUGAAUGUGCCCAGCCUGAUAGCGUCUGGCGCUAUAUUGCACCA